rnacentral:rRNA from 1 species
GACGAACGCUGGCGGCGUGCUUAACACAUGCAAGUCGAACGGAAAGGCCCUGCUUUUGUGGGGUGCUCGAGUGGCGAACGGGUGAGUAACACGUGAGUAACCUGCCCUUGACUUUGGGAUAACUUCAGGAAACUGGGGCUAAUACCGGAUAGGAGCUCCUGCUGCACGGUGGGGGUGGGAAAGUUUCGGCGGUUGGGGCUGGACUCGCGGCUUAUCAGCUUGUUGGUGGGGGAGUGGCUUACCAAGGCUUUGACGGGCAGCCCGCCUGGGAGGGGGACCGCCGACAUUGGGCCUAAGAUACGGCCCAGACUCCUACGGGGGGCAGCGGUGGGAAGUAUUACGCAAUGGGCGGAAGCCUGAUGAGACAGCGCCGGGGGCGGGAUGACGGCCUUCGGGUUGUAAACCGCUUUAGGCUGUGACGAAGCGUGAGUGACGGUAAUGGGUAAAGAAGCACCGGCUAACUACGUG